rnacentral:misc_RNA from 1 species
GCCAAAUACCAAAAAUUACCCAAAUAAGUAAAAUACCCAAAUAUCAAUUAUUUCCCAAAUUUCUUCAUAAAAUACGUAGACCUAAAAUCUCUAGUAUAAGGUCCCACAUUACUAUGUAGAUAUGAAGCCAAAGGAUCAGAAAAAUGAAUUAUUAUCAGGUAGGAUAGAAGCACAUGCUUUUCACUACCAUAGCCUGAGACCCACAAUCCGGGUAAGUUAUGAAGGAUGUGCUCCUCUCCUAUCUAAUAAUAUUUGCAUAAAUAAUGUUGUUGAAGUAUUCAAAAGCACAAACUGGGCUUGAACAAC